rnacentral:rRNA from 1 species
CCUACGGGUGGCAGCAGUGGGGAAUAUUGCGCAAUGGGCGAAAGCCUGACGCAGCGACGCCGCGUGAGGGAUGAAGGUCUUCGGAUCGUAAAUCUCUGUCAGCAGGGAAGAACGGUCACUGUGCUAAUCAGCAGUGAAUUGACGGUACCUGCAAAGGAAGCACCGGCUAACUCCGUGCCAGCAGCCGCGGUAAUACGGAGGGUGCGAGCGUUAAUCGGAAUUACUGGGCGUAAGGCGCUCGUAGGCGGUAUGUCAAGUCAAGGGUGAAAGCCCCGUGCUCAACGUGGGAACUGCCUUUGAAACUGGCAAGCUGGAGUGUGUGAGAGGAUAGUGGAAUUCCAGGUGUAGGAGUGAAAUGCGUAGAUAUCUGGAGGAACAUCAGUGGCGAAGGCGACUAUCUGGCACGUAACUGACGCUGAGGAGCGAAAGCGUGGGUAGCAAACAGGAUUAGAUACCCGAGUAGUC